UAGAGUUUGAUCCUGGCUCAGAUUGGACGCUGGCGGCAGGCCUAACACAUGCAAGUCCAGCGGAAACGAAGAGGAGCUUGCUCCUUUGGCGUCGAGCGGCGGACGGGUGAGUAAUGCUUGGGAAUGUGCCUUAUGGUGGGGGACAACAGUUGGAAACGACUGCUAAUACCGCAUAAUGUCUUCGGACCAAAGUGGGGGACCUUCGGGCCUCACGCCAUAAGAUCAGCCCUAGUGGGAUUAGCUAGUUGGUAAGGUAAUGGCUUACCAACGCGACGAUCCCUCGCUGGUUUGAGAGGAUGAUCAGUCACACUGGGGCUGAGACACGGCCCAGACUCCUACGGGAGGCACCAGUGGGGAAUAUUGCACAAUGGGCGCAAGCCUGAUGCAGCCAUGCCGCGUGUGUCAAGAAGGCCUUCGGGUUGUAAAGCACUUUCAGUAAGGAGGAAAGGUUAAGUGUUAAUAGCACUUAGCUGUGACGUUACUUACAGAAGAAGCACCGGCUAACUCCGUGCCAGCAGCCGCGGUAAUACGGAGGGUGCGAGCGUUAAUCGGAAUUACUGGGCGUAAAGCGUACGCAGGCGGUUUGUUAAGCGAGAUGUGAAAGCCCCGGCCUCAACCUGGGAACUGCAUUUCGAACUGGCAAACUAGAGUGUGAUAGAGGGUGGUAGAAUUUCAGGUGUAGCGGUGAAAUGCGUAGAGAUCUGAAGGAAUACCGAUGUCGAAGGCAGCCACCUGGGUCAACACUCACGCUCAUGUACGAAAGCGUGGGGAGCAAACAGGAUUAGUUACCCUGGUAGUCCACGCCGUAAACGAUGUCUACUAGAAGCUCGACUCUUCGGAGUUGUUUUUCAUAGCUAACGCAUUAAGUAGACCGCCUGGGGGGUACGGCCGCAAGGUUAAAACUCAAAUGAAUUGACGGGGGCCCGCACAAGCGGUGGAGCAUGUGGUUUAAUUCGAUGCAACGCGAAGAACCUUACCUACACUUGACAUACAGCGAACUUACUAGAGAUAGUUUGGUGCCUUCGGGAACGCUGAUUCAGGUGCUGCAUGGCUGUCGUCAGCUCGUGUUGUGAGAUGUUGGGUUAAGUCCCGCGACGAGCGCAACCCCUAUCCUUAG
rnacentral:rRNA from 1 species